rnacentral:lncRNA from 1 species
GUUUCACUUUCAAUUUGACAUUCUUGUCUUUAAUAGCCUAACACGCAUUUCUAAUGAACAAUCCAUCUCCAGCUAAAGGGUUAAAUUGAAGUUCACAUGAAUACGAGUUCAAUGAGGUUGAAUUAUUCACUUGCAAAUCAUAAUUCAUCAUAAAUGUUUCUCAGCUUAUUUUGACAAAAUUGAACCAUACUGGCUGCUAAU